GGUAGUCCACGCCCUAAACGAUGUCGACUGGUUGUUGGGGGUUUGACACUCUCAGUAACGAAGCUAACGCGUGAAGUCGACCGCCUGGGGAGUACGGCCGCAAGGUUAAAACUCAAAGGAAUUGACGGGGACCCGCACAAGCGGUGGAUUAUGUGGAUUAAUUCGAUGCAACGCGAAAAACCUUACCUACCCUUGACAUGUCCGAGAGCCUGCUGAAAGGCGGGUGUGCCCGAAAGGGAAUCGGAACACAGGUGCUGCAUGGCUGUCGUCAGCUCGUGUCGUGAGAUGUUGGGUUAAG
rnacentral:rRNA from 1 species